rnacentral:rRNA from 1 species
GAUGAACGCUGGCGGCGUACCUAACGCAUGCAAGUCGAACGGGGAUUCAAGUAGCAAUACGAGGAUUCUAGUGGCAAACGGGUGAGUAACACGUAGGGAUCUACCUUGAGGUGGGGAACAACGGACCGAAAGGUUCGCUAAUACCGCAUGGGCUCGAGAGAGCAAAGGUGGGGUUAAACCCAUCGCCUUGAGCGGAGCCUGCGUUCGAUCAGGUAGUUGGUGAGGUAACGGCUCACCAAGCCGAUGACCGAUAGCUGUUCUGAGAGGAAGAUCAGCCACACUGGGACUGUGACACGGCCCAGACUCCUACGGGAGGCAG